AUUGAACGCUGGCGGCAGGCCUAACACAUGCAAGUCGAGCGGAACGGCGGACGGGUGAGUAAUGCCUAGGAAUCUGCCUGGUAGUGGGGGAUAACGUCCGGACACGGGCGCUAAUACCGCAUACUCUCAGAUGAGCCUAGGUCGGCUUAGCUAGGUGGUGGGGUAAAGGCUUACAAAGGCGACGAUCCGUAACUGGUCUGAGAGGAUGAUCAGUCACACUGGAACUGAGAAACGGUCCAGACUCCUACGGGAGGCAGCAGUGGGGAAUAUUGGACAAUGGGCGAAAGCCUGAUCCAGCCAGGCCGCGUGUGUGAAGAAGGUCUUCGGAUUGUAAAGCACUUUAAGUUGGGAGGCGUUACCAACAGAAUAAGCACCGGCUAACGUCGGGCCAGCCGCCGCGGUAAUAC
rnacentral:rRNA from 1 species